GGGGAUAUGGCGAAAUUGGUAGACGCUACGGACUUAAUUGGAUUGAGCCUUGGUAUGGAAACCUACUAAGUGGUAACUUUCAAAUUCAGAGAAACCCCGGAAUUAAUAAAAAUGGGCAAUCCUGAGCCAAAUCCUGUUUUCCCAAAACAAAGGUUCAGAAAGAAAAAAGGAUAGGUGCAGAGACUCAAUGGAAGCUGUUCUAACAAAUGGAGUGGACUGCGUUGGUAGAGGAAUCUUUCCAUCGAAACUUCAGAAAGGAUGAAGGAUAAACGUAUAUAUUGAAUACUAUAUCAAAUGAUUAAUGACGACUCGAAUCUCUAUCUGUAUUUUUUUAUAUGAAAAAUGGAAGAAUUGAUUCCACAUUGAAGAAAGAAUCGAAUAUUCAUUGAUCAAAUCAUUCACUCCAUAGUCUGAUAGAUCUUUUAAAGAACUGAUUAAUCGGACGAGAAUAAAGAUAGAGUCCCAUUCUACAUGUCAAUACCGGCAACAAUGAAAUUUAUAGUAAAAGGAAAAUCCGUCGACUUUUAAAAUCGUGAGGGUUCAAGUCCCUCUAUCCCCA
rnacentral:ncRNA from 1 species